CUGGCCUUGACAUCCUGCGAACUUUCUAGAGAUAGAUUGGUGCCUUCGGGAACGCAGUGACAGGUGCUGCAUGGCCGUCGUCAGCUCGUGUCGUGAGAUGUUGGGUUAAGUCCCGUAACGAGCGCAACCCCUAUCCCUAGUUGCUAGCAGUUCGGCUGAGAACUCUAGGGAGACUGCCGGUGACAAACCGGAGGAAGGUGGGGAUGACGUCAGGUCAUCAUGCCCCUUAUGAUUUGGGCUACACACGUGCUACAAUGGGACAUACAGAGGGCAGCGAAGCCGCGAGGCGGAGCGAAUCCCACAAAGUGUCUCUCAGUUCGGAUUGCAGGCUGCAACUCGCCUGCAUGAAGUCGGAAUCGCUAGUAAUCGCAGGUCAGCAUACUGCGGUGAAUACGUUCCC
rnacentral:rRNA from 1 species